GCGUCCGUAGCUCAGCUGGAUAGAGUACCUGGCUACGAACCAGGCGGUCAGAGGUUCGAAUCCUCUCGGNUGCGC
rnacentral:tRNA from 1 species